AGACUCCUACGGGAGGCAGCAGUCGGGAAUAUUGGGCAAUGGGCGAAAGCCUGACCCGGCAACGCCGCGUGAAGGAUGAAGGCCCUAGGGUCGUAAACUUCUGUCGAGAGGGAAGAAUGCUUGCGGGUAAAUAAUUCGUAAGUUUGACGGUACCUCCAAAGGAAGCACCGGCUAACUCCGUGCCAGCAGCCGCGGUAAUACGGAGGGUGCAAGCGUUGUUCGGAUUUAUUGGGCGUAAAGCGAGUGUAGGCGGCUUAGCAAGUCGGAUGUGAAAUCCCAGGGCCCAACCCUGGAACUGCAUCCGAUACUGUUAGGCUAGAAUUCCGGAGAGGGUGGCGGAAUUCCCGGUGUAGGGGUGAAAUCCGUAGAUAUCGGGAGGAACACUAGUGGCGAAGGCGGCCACCUGGACGGUAAUUGACGCUCAGACUCGAAAGCGUGGGUAGCAAACAGGAUUAGAUACCCUGGUAGUCCACGCCGUAAACGGUGAGAGCUCGUCGUAGUGGGUAUUGACCCCUGCUGUGACCAAGUUAACGCAUGAAGCUCUCCGCCUGGGAAGUACGGUCGCAAGACUAAAACUCAAGAAAUUGACGGGGGCCCGCACAAGCGGU
rnacentral:rRNA from 1 species